GAUGAACGCUAGCGGCAGGCUUAAUACAUGCAAGUCGAGGGGCAGCGCAGUGUAGCAAUACAUGGGCGGCGACCGGCAAACGGGUGCGUAACACGUACGCAACCUUCCCGUUACUGUGGGAUAGCCCAGGGAAACUUGGAUUAAUACCACAUAUUGCCAUUGGGAGGCAUCUCUUGAUGGCCAAAGAAUUUCGGUAACGGAUGGGCGUGCGGUUGAUUAGGUAGUUGGCGGGGUAACGGCCCACCAAGCCUACGAUCAAUAGCUGAUGUGAGAGCAUGAUCAGCCACACGGGCACUGAGACACGGGCCCGACUCCUACGGGAGGCAGCAGUAAGGAAUAUUGGGCAAUGGACGAAAGUCUGACCCAGCCAUGCCGCGUGAAGGAUGAAGGUCCUCUGGAUUGUAAACUUCUUUUUUCUGGGGAGAAAUGCAUCUUUUCUAAGGUGUUUGACGGUACCAGAAGAUAAGCACCGGCUAACUCCGUGCCAGCAGCCG
rnacentral:rRNA from 1 species